rnacentral:lncRNA from 1 species
GGAAAUCAGUUCCUUUUCUUCUCCUUCAUUUCCUUAUAGCCUGUUUGACCUUUCCUUAAAUUAGUAAUGGAAAUGUCUUUCUCGCUGCAAUGGAUAGCUGUUGACUGAGCAAAACGUGCUAAUUGUUUUCCAGUGUUUUCUUCCAGUCUGCUGCAGAGAACCACAGGGCCAGCGGGUGGGAGUGCCCAGGAGGGAAGUCUGGUUUUGGUGUCCAUAAAGAGAAGUUCUGAAUCAUUAGGGUGAUGAAGCCAGCUGCCACGUGAAGCCCCAAACACUCCUUCUCCGCUGGGAAAGCCGAGGCCACAGAUCCCCUAAGGGCCAUUGUCCACUAGUGGCAGGUGAGUGGAAAGUGGGUGCAUGGCCUCUGCUCCGGGUCCUUCCGAGCAGUCAUCUGAGACGGGACUGGAUACAGAGUGCCCCAGGUUCCAGCAGAGACGGGGAAAGAUGAGGUUCUCACUUUCCAGGAAUUGAAAGAGGGUUGGAUCAUAUCAGCUUUUCCCGAAAAUAGACGGAUAAAAAUUAAACAGUUUGCCUUUUCAGGUCUGGUUGUUAGGAGAUGACUUUGGCAGCUAUGAAACCCAGAGUGCUAGCCUGCUGCAAUUGGGAAUGAAGGGGAAGGAACUUUUCAUAGAUGGUCAGAAUGUCCAUGCCAAGGGGUUUUCCUUCUGAGUCAGUAAGCUCAGAGGGUUCCUGCUUUAAUCUUUCUGUUCUCUGUCAUGCGCCUUUAAGGAAUGUCUUGCUACAUUGCUCUCUGAUGAUACUUUGCCUAUACUUUCAUAUCAUUGCUAAUCUCAUUGUACCAUCAUUCCUCCAGAGCUGGGGGCUCAGUUUCAGGAGACCCCUGCCUAGGGGAUGCGAUGACCAUCUGCAGACGCUCAAGUCCCUCAUAUAAAGUGGCAUGGAAUUUACAUAGAACCUACACACAUCUUCCUGAAUGUAUCAAUCACCUCUGGAUGACUUGUAAGACCUAAUAAAAUGUAAACUUAUGUAAAUAAUUGCUAGGCUAUAUUGUUUAAGGAAUGAUGACAAGAAGUCUGUACAUGUGCAGCAAACAUGCAAUUUUUCCCCACAAAUAUUUUUUAUCCAAGGUUGGUUGAAUUUGCUUAUGCAGAACCCAGGGAUAUGGAGGGCCGACUGUAUUCUAAUUUGUUUAUUUUUCUGUAUUCUCCAUCUCUGGUCUUUAGCGCAAUGUCUGACACUGUAGGCUCUCAACCGGUGUUUGUCAUAAAAAUGGUUCAAAUACAUCAAUUCUGGAUGAAGAAAAAGAAUUCUGUAAGAUAAAUCGUGUAUCGUGCUACCAUCUUCCAAC